UGCGACAACUCUACUCCAGAACUUCUCCCGCACCGCACCACCUGGCAUUAACCAAACCAGGUUCCUUAAGACACACCCUUCGAAGUUCNCGACAACUCUACUCCAGAACUUCUCCCGCAACGCACCACCUGGCAUUAACCAAACCAGGUUCCUUAAGACACACCCUUCGAAGUUCGAAACUCAACCUUCCCUUUUCUUGCGGUGUUCCGACCACCGCCUCAAGCCGGCCACCGACUUCACCCUUUGAUAACCACACUUAUCAGACUCUACACUUAUCAACCGAGUACCACUCCAUGGCACUUUUCUCGAUUCUGAUCACAACAAUCACUUGACUCUUACGAGCUAGAUAUAACCCUGAACCACCGGGUUCCCGAUCUGAGUCCAACUCUAUCCACUCCAUGCUGUCAGAAUGACACAUUCUUCAGCCUCAGAGCAACUCCCAUG
rnacentral:lncRNA from 1 species